AGAGACAGCAGUAGCCGCGGGAAUACAGAGGGUGCGAGCGUUAAUCGGAUUUACUGGGCGUAAAGCGUGCGUAGGCGGCUUCUUAAGUCGGAUGUGAAAUCCCUGAGCUUAACUUAGGAAUUGCAUUCGAUACUGGGAAGCUAGAGUAUGGGAGAGGAUGUAGAAUUCCAGGUGUAGCGGUGAAAUGCGUAGAGAUCUGGAGGAAUACCGAUGGCGAAGGCAGCCAUCUGGCCUAAUACUGACGCUGAGGUACGAAAGCAUGGGGAGCAAACAGGAUUAGAUACCCCGGUAGUCCCUGUCUCUUAUACA
rnacentral:rRNA from 1 species